CCUCCCCCGCCCCAUCCUCCAGGAGUGGGGGAGGCCUGGACAGCCCUUUGCUCCCGGGACAGGUAUGGACACACCUACAGAACCAGACAGCCAGGCUCCAGCCACUGGAAUCCUCUCCCGUCCCAGCCCCAGCGCCUCCUCUUCCGCAGACACCUCAGUGCCCUCAAAUGUCCCCACAGGAGGCUUGGCCCACCCCCUCUGCUCAGCCGCCUCAGUUCAGCACUCACUAGAAUCAGAAUUGAUUUGCCUGAUGCCAGUUGCCCAUGCCUGUUAUACUAGCAACUGAGGAGGCUGAGGUCUGAGGAUCAUGGUUCAAAGCCAGCUCAUUAAAAAAAAAAAAAAAGUCCAAGAGACACUUAUAAAAAAUAAAUAAAUAAGUCACCAAA